UACCUCAGCCUAGGGAGGGGGCUUUUGGUCUCAUUUUGGGCUUGAUCAUGUCAGGCAUACUGUAGACUGCCUUGUCAUGGGACUUGUAACUUUACCUUGAUCUUUGAUAUGGGUUAGCUCUGACUGUCUGUCAGGGCUUACACAGGCUAACACACUGUGAACUGUGUUGCACUAGGACUUGGGACUUCUCUCUGGAAUUACAGACCAGACAUCCUAGGAGAAAAAUAUUAGCAUUGCUUUUCAAACAGAAGACAACUAAGACUCAGAUAAAUUCAGUGACUUGCCCAAGGUCAAACAUCUGCAAAGUGAUAUGGAUCCUAGCACUCUGAUCUUCUGAGUGAUCCUCUAUUUCAGUGUCCACUGAAACAUACUAUUUAAAUAGACCAUUUUGCCUCUCCAACAUUAUUGCUUCUAAAUUGUUUGACACAGCUUGCUUCAAAAACUUAAUAUUUGCUUGGAAACUUCAAAGUGUUGUUCUCUAUCUUAAAGCAAUGGUUCCUUCUUACAAUGUAUGAGUUUCCUUAGGAAUUAACAUUUAUAUCCUCCCAAUAAGAC
rnacentral:lncRNA from 1 species